AGAAGAAGAAGAAGAAGGAGAAAUGGUGAAGACUUUUGUCUUUUCUUCAGAUGGAGAGAGGGCAGAGGAGGGAGCCCUGGCUGGUGCACUGCCUGAGGACUGUGCUGCUGAUGGUGCAGGCUGUAAGUGACAGGAGUCAAAACUCGCCUCAAAAUGCACCGAGCACAGACACAGCAGGUUGCACAGAAGCCUACAAUCCUCCUGUAUCUGAAAUAUUUCCUGCUAUCUUUAAAGAUUUUCCUUCUCACAGACUUGCUUUUUGAGAGAAGAAACAUUGAUGCAGCUCUCCUAGAUUUCAAGUGUCUCCAAGGCCUGUGGAGGUUUGACAGGAUUCCCAGGAACAGAACUUUUGCCCACAGUGCUGCCCCAUUAUCUCCCUCACACAUAAUGGAGCUGGAGGCUUGUGGUUGAGUGACCUCAGCAUCGUUGCGAAAGAGGUUUGCUUGCAUUAUUCCCCCACACGUGAUUCCAUAAGAGACACCACUCCAUGCCUGUUUUUUUUUUUUUUCUUUACUCUUUCCUCUCAGAGGAAAAGCACUGGAUAAACUCUGAUAUGUGCCCCUCUAUCUGUGGAACCCAUGCUGGGCAAUUUCUGGCAGUGCCCUCUGGUGUGGGGGCGUUUUGCCCCAGGAGGGCAGCACUCUUGGAGAGCAGUGCAUGGCUGUGCCAUGGCUGGAGCUGUGUGAAGGAGCUUUGCUGCUUUUUGUUUGAUACACUAAAGAUACCUCGACUCCAGAUAAGGUUCUGUGAACAGGCAGAGCCCAGCACUGACCUCGUGGUGCCUGUGUGCCAGCCCAGAGCACUCUGGCUCUCCUAAAAUUGGAGGAUGGGCAUCUGGGUCCUGUCGUAUGGGUGCAGGAAGGAAGAAACAGAGUCUGGAAUGAAACAGAUUUUUUCUUUCUCUAGAAAAGCUGAAAUCCUGGGAGGGCAGAACAUGGAGAAAUCCAGUUCUUUUAAAUUUCUCUAUCGAGUAUGUACUUACAGCACUGCUUUUCCCCUCCUGCUUUCUUUGAAUAGAGAUGUUUGGGCAAUGGGCAGUUAGAGAAGAAGUUGUCUUCUCCCUCGCUGAGCACUCUUUGCUAGUGGGAAAAAGCAGACCAACUAAAGUGUGCCUGCACCCCAGGCUCUGGUCAGAGGGGGGAAUAUCUUGUAAAACUGUCUUCCUGCAUGUUUGCAAAGCACUUCAGGGUCUGAUUGUAUUACUACAGUGCUGAUAAUAAACUUUGUUAAUAAUGAAAGCAGGAAGAAACUGUUUACUGGGUGCUGCAUGAGGAAGGCAAAGUUGGCUAUGGCUGCUUCCAAAUGUGUGGAGACUGGGACAAGGAACUGCGUGUGCAGGGUGGUGUUCUGAAAAAGAUUGCUUCUGAAAUCCAAAUGAGGACGUAGGGGAGCAAUCCUUCAUGUGUUUGUAGCUGAUUUGAUGUAAAACCUCUCUCACAUGAUGAGACCCAGUCCCAUUGCAGGUUUACAGGAAUCCCCAGGCAGCAGGGAGGCAGUGAGUGGGUGCCACAGGGCAAGGCAGGCUCAGAUCUGACACUGCCAGCAGCACAAUGAACCUCCCCACUGCCGUGCAGGGCAGCUCUGCUCAGUUAAUUAGGUCUCCCCAGUGUUCUGGAAUAAAGAUGUUCUCUGAGUGACAACUGGUUCAGACAGGAGACUCCCAGCAGCAAGCAAGUAGAGCCAGUAAAGAGAUGGGAACACACAGUAGCUUCUCCCUGUGCAGGAGCAGAGGGUUCCAGCUGUGUAAUAACAGAGGCAGUCAUAUUGCAUGAAGAGAUCUCAUUUGGUUCUUGGUUGAAACCUGGAUGAAGUCCAGGUGCUUCAGAGGGCUAAACCAUCACCUCCUCCAAGAUGCACUGCUUGUGGUGUGGGUGCUGGGCACACAGAGGGGCCCUGGAAGCCACGAAAGCUCUGCAAGUCACAGGUGCCACCGUGAUCUCCACUCCUGAGUCAGGGCCCGUGCCGGCUGCCAAACCGUGCGUGGUGAUUACACAGUGUGGACACCUCGUCAGCUGCUGAGGCCUUCUGACUCAUUCCCACUUAGAAUCUAGAUGACAGUUUGGUUUGAAUUAGCAGUGGGCUGAAGCCAAAAUCCUGGGUCUGAACUUCCUCAGAUUUUGGGAAGACUCCAGUCUGGAUCCAAGCUUAGCACAUGGCUGUAACUUACUCAAAGAUUGGAGCCAAACCCUGGAUCAGAACGUUCCCAGACUAUGGGGAAGCUCACAGCCCGUCUUUGAUGCUGGGAUCAUCACAAGGAUGAAAUACUGCCCUCUUCUUAAGAUGCUCCUUGCUUUCUUCCUCAGCUGGUGCAUUUUUAGGCCUGCAAUUGUUACAUUUCAGUUCUUAC